rnacentral:rRNA from 1 species
AACGAACGCUGGCGGCAUGCCUAACACAUGCAAGUCGAACGAGACCUUCGGGUCUAGUGGCGCACGGGUGCGUAACGCGUGGGAACCUGCCCUUAGGUUCGGAAUAACUCCCCGAAAGGGGUGCUAAUACCGGAUAAUGUCUUCGGACCAAAGAUUUAUCGCCUUUGGAUGGGCCCGCGUUGGUUUAGCUAGUUGGUAGGGUAAAAGCCUACCAAGGCGACGAUCCAUAGCUGGUCUGAGAGGAUGAUCAGCCACACUGGGACUGAGACACGGCCCAGACUCCUACGGGAGGCAGCAGUGGGGAAUAUUGGACAAUGGGCGAAAGCCUGAUCCAGCAAUGCCGCGUGAGUGAUGAAGGCCUUAGGGUUGUAAAGCUCUUUUACCCGGGAUGAUAGUGACAGUACCGGGAGAAUAAGCUCCGGCUAACUCCGUG